GUCUGGUGCCAGCAGCCGCGGUAAUUCCAGCUCCAAUAGCGUAUAUUAAAGUUGUUGCAGUUAAAAAGCUCGUAGUUGAAUUUCGGGAUCAAUACGUCGGUCGUGCUUCGGUACGUACUGGCGUCAUUGAUUUCUCCCUUCUGACGAACCAUGAUGUCAUUAACUUGGUGUCAUGGGAAAUCAGGACUGUUACUUUGAAAAAAUUAGAGUGUUUAAAGCAAGCUAACGCUUGAAUACAUUAGCAUGGAAUAAUGAAAUAGGACGUUCGAUCCUAUUUUGUUGGUUUCUAGGAUUGACGUAAUGAUUAAUAGGGAUAGUUGGGGGC
rnacentral:rRNA from 1 species